ensembl:snRNA U6 U6 spliceosomal RNA
GUGCUCCCUUGGGCAUCGCAUAUACUAAAAUUGAAACAAUACAGAGAAUAUUAGCAUGGCUUCUUCACUAGGAUAACAUACAAAUUCAUGAAACGUUCAUAUUUUUU